GACGAACCGUACAAACGUUAUUCGGAAUCACUGGGCUUAAAGGGUGCGUAGGCGGCCUGUUAAGUAGGGUGUGAAAUCCCCCGGCCCAACCGGGGAAUGGCGCUCUAAACUGGCAGGCUUGAGUGAGCUAGGGGUGCAUGGAACUUCCAGUGGAGCGGUGAAAUGUGUUGAUAUUGGAAGGAACACCGGAGGCGAAAGCGAUGCACUGGGGCUUAACUGACGCUGAGGCACGAAAGCCAGGGUAGCGAACGGG
rnacentral:rRNA from 1 species